GUGCCAGCAGCCGCGGUAAUACGUAUGUCACGAGCGUUAUCCGGAUUUAUUGGGCGUAAAGCGCGUCUAGGUGGUUAUGUAAGUCUGAUGUGAAAAUGCAGGGCUCAACUCUGUAUUGCGUUGGAAACUGUAUAACUAGAGUACUGGAGAGGUAAGCGGAACUACAAGUGUAGAGGUGAAAUUCGUAGAUAUUUGUAGGAAUGCCGAUGGGGAAGCCAGCUUACUGGACAGAUACUGACGCUGAAGCGCGAAAGCGUGGGUAGCAAAACAGGAUUAGAUACCCUGGUAGUCC
rnacentral:rRNA from 1 species